rnacentral:rRNA from 1 species
UACAUGGGGUGCAAACGUUGCUCGGAAUCAUUGGGCGUAAAGCGCGCGUAGGCGGUUACUUAAGUCGAAUGUGAAAGCCCUCGGCUUAACCGAGGAAGUGCAUCCGAAACUGAGUAGCUAGAGUACGAAAGAGGGUCGCGGAAUUCCCGGUGUAGAGGUGAAAUUCGUAGAUAUCGGGAGGAACACCGGUGGCGAAGGCGGCGACCUGGGUCGAGACUGACGCUGAGGCGCGAAAGCGUGGGGAGCAAGCAGG